GGUGGGUUGGCUCAGUUGGUAGAGCUUAGGGUUUGUGACGAAAAGGGCGGAGGUUCCAAUCCUACACCUGACCA
rnacentral:tRNA from 1 species